AUCGUCGCAAGGCCGAAACUUAUAAAGGAAUUGGCGUAAGC
rnacentral:rRNA from 13 species